rfam:Ovis aries breed Texel chromosome 1, whole genome shotgun sequence.
UCCCUGGUGGCUCAUACGGUAAAGCGUCUGCCUACACUGCGGGAGACCCAGGUUCGAUCCCUGGAUGGGGAA